ACGAGCUGCUCCGAAAUAGUGAAAAGUGAAUAGCUGUACUUGUAAAAUUUGUGUAUAAAGUGUAACUUGUAAAUUUGUGUAUAUGAAUGAACAAAGUGCAUUUAUUAUUAAUGAAGAAAGUCAUGAAAAAAUGGUGAAAGAAAAUGAAUAUCUUCGUUUUAUAGAGAGGAAARCGUAAAGAGCUAAAAGGAAAAAAAAAACUAAUGCACUUCAAAGCAAAUGCAAUAUUAUCAGCGUCAGAAAGAUUUGAAGAAAAAUGAAAAAAUACUAAAAAGAGUACCAAAAUCAAAUGCUGAACGUUAAAAGAAAUUUCGUCAACAUAAUGCGGAAAAAGCUUACAUGGAUAUAAGAAGACGAAAAUUGUGAAGUAAUGAAGAGAACAUCGUGCGAUGUACCACACCAUUGACGCGGUAUUUACUAGGUAUUUAGAG